GAUGAACGCUGGCGGCGUGCCUAAUACAUGCAAGUCGAGCGAACGGACGAGAAGCUUGCUUCUCUGAUGUUAGCGGCGGACGGGUGAGUAACACGUGGAUAACCUACCUAUAAGACUGGGAUAACUUCGGGAAACCGGAGCUAAUACCGGAUAAUAUUUUGAACCGCAUGGUUCAAAAGUGAAAGACGGUCUUGCUGUCACUUAUAGAUGGAUCCGCGCUGCAUUAGCUAGUUGGUAAGGUAACGGCUUACCAAGGCAACGAUGCAUAGCCGACCUGAGAGGGUGAUCGGCCACACUGGAACUGAGACGCGGUCCAGACUCCUACGGGAGGCAGCAGUAGGGAAUCUUCCGCAAUGGGCGAAAGCCUGACGGAGCAACGCCGCGUGAGUGAUGAAGGUCUUCGGAUCGUAAAACUCUGUUAUUAGGGAAGAACACAUGUGUAAGUAACUGUGCACAUCUUGACGGUACCUAAUCAGAAAGCCACGGCUAACUACGUG
rnacentral:rRNA from 1 species